AAGGCGCCAUUUUGGACGGGCCGCGGGAGACGUGGUGCCGCUGAGGGCUCGCUCUGCCGUACGCUAGGCUUGGUGGGAAGGCCUCUCUCCUCGAGUCCGCGCUUUUUCCGUCGCCGCCAUGUCAGGAGGUGGUGUGAUCCGUGGCCCGGCGGGGAACAACGACUGCCGCAUCUACGUGGGUAACCUACCUCCGGACAUCCGAACCAAGGACAUUGAGGACGUGUUUUACAAAUACGGCGCCAUCCGCGACAUCGACCUGAAGAACCGCCGCGGGGGACCUCCCUUCGCCUUCGUUGAGUUCGAGGACCCGCGAGACGCGGAAGAUGCGGUGUACGGUCGCGACGGCUACGAUUACGACGGCUACCGUCUGCGGGUGGAGUUCCCCCGAAGCGGCCGCGGGACAGGCCGAGGCGGCGGCGGGGGCGGCGGCGGCGGAGCUCCGAGAGGCCGCUAUGGCCCGCCCUCCCGGCGGUCCGAAAACAGAGUGGUUGUCUCUGGACUGCCUCCGAGUGGAAGCUGGCAGGAUUUAAAGGAUCACAUGCGUGAAGCAGGUGAUGUAUGUUAUGCUGAUGUUUACCGAGAUGGCACUGGUGUCGUGGAGUUUGUACGGAAAGAAGAUAUGACGUAUGCAGUUCGAAAACUGGAUAACACUAAGUUUAGAUCUCAUGAGGGAGAAACUGCCUACAUCCGGGUUAAAGUUGAUGGGCCCAGAAGUCCAAGUUAUGGAAGAUCUCGCUCUCGAAGCCGUAGUCGUAGCAGAAGCCGUAGCAGAAGCAACAGCAGGAGUCGCAGUUACUCCCCAAGGAGAAGCAGAGGAUCACCACGCUAUUCUCCCCGUCAUAGCAGAUCUCGCUCUCACAUAUCUGAAGAGAUGGAUUAAGAAUGCUUUGGAUUAAGGAUUGUGGAGCACAUUUCAAUCAUUUUAGGAUUGUCAAAAGGAGGAUUGAGGAGGAUCAGAUCAAUAAUGGAGGCAAUGGAUAUUGUAGGGACUCUGAUUAGUUUUUCUAACCAAGAAAGCACUUAAAUCUCUUUAAGCAAGUACUUUGCAUAACAUCUGAUUGAAUAAUCCAACUUGCUGUUCAGCUCAUCCUACUGGAGACAAAGGUAAGACAUAUUUUGAUACCUAGUUUGGGAUCUGAAUUUUAAGAACUAAAGUUUGGAAUGAAUAAUUUCUCUUGCAAUGUGUCCCCCCCCAAGCUUUUUAGUAAUUUUGAGUGUUUGUAGAUCACCCAUCUUAAUUCUGGAGUUGCAUAUGAUAAAAGCUAAGGUCAGCUUUUCCUAGUUUUGUCUAUGAACCAUGCUUUUGUAGGACUGGUGCUGUUCGCAGCUUCCUGUGGUCAAGGUCAGUUUCUGGUGUUUGCCUUUUUGCUUUGUAUAUGAAAUUUGUAGUUAAAUUACAAAUGAAAUAAAAUACACGUAUUUAAAUAGAAUUAAAAGGAGAGAAAGUAUUAGACUGAGUUCUGUUGUAACAACCACUGUGACUUAUUUCUAUCAUGAUUUGAAGACAGAUUGACAAUCUGCAAUUCUGAAAUCAUUAAAAAAAAAAAAAAGCCCCUGAAUACUGGGGAUUGUUGAGCCAGUUGAAUGUAAAAUCUGACCAGAAUGCUACCUUCAUUGUGUAAUUAAUGUCACUAACAAGUUUGCCAGCAAAAAUACUAGUGCACUCUUGAUUACAAAAUUGCACAGGCAUUUUUGAAGGUAUUUUUAUAUAUAUGGUAUAUGUGGUAAGAUCUUCAUGUAAAGUAUGAACAACCAUGAGUCCCAAAUACAUCUCGACGGGCAAGGAGUUUUAUGUAGAAUUGUACUAGUACUACAGAGGAUUAGUGCUGCUAUGUCAUUUUGGGAGUGAAUAAAAGGCUGUUACUUUGGAACCCUUACUGAGAUUUAAGUUCUCCAUCCUUUUAGACUGAAUCAGAUACUAGAAGAAAAGGUGUCCCCCACCUAGUGUAUUCUGUUACUAUAUAGUUGACAUUGGCAGACUGUUUACUUCAUGGAAGGGAAUAUACCCACAACAUGUAGUGCAGUCCUAAGGGUAGGGGUUUAGAUUUCAGAGUUUGUAGGGUUUUUGUUUUAAGGUUUUUAUAUCUAUGUGUUGGAGUGUUUUUUCUGUGCGUAAGUAUGUCCUUUGUGUGAGUGAUGCUUUUGGAUACCAGAAGAAAACGCUGGGUUCCCCUAGAACUGGAGACUGGACAGUUGUGAACUGUGGGGUGCUGGGAACCUGAACCUACGUCCUCUGGAAAAGCAGUGAGUGUUCUUAACAAGCCAUCUCUCCAAAGUCUGUUAUCAGUCUUAAGGAACCUUGCCCAUUCUGGUUCUAUGAGAAAGAUUAAAAUGUGAAGAGAUCAGAAAAAGUUUUACUGUAAUUGUUGAAUAAAUCUUGCAAAAUUUUUUUUUGCUUUAGAGCAAAGAAGUUAACAGCAUAUUUAAACUAACACUCAACUUUCCAUGGUUGAGAAUUUCAGAGUGCUGGUGUUUUUUUGUUUUUAAGUUAGGAAGCUCUGUUUGAUAAUCUAGAAUUUGGUUGUGCCUUGUAGGGAUCAAAGGGAGGAUAUUUUCUUGUUGGCUUCAUAGUACACAGAAAAUAGAAUAAAUUGAUGUUCUCUACAAGUUAAUUCCAGAAAUCUACUCCAGAGGUAACAGUAUUUUUUAGUGUGCUGAGAAUUUGAACCCAGGGCCUCAGAUGCUGGGUCAGUGCUUUACCACAGAGCUAUGUACAACUUAAGACUUACCUACAGCAUUUUGAUAGUGUCAGUGGGUUACAGAGGAAAGAAAAGUCAUGCAUGGCUUAUUUGUGAGGUUCCCAUUUAGGUAAGUAAAGCAGAGUUUUUAGCUGAGUGCUUUAUCUUAAAAAAAGAUGGAGGCAGUAAACAUCUUGAUUUCUAUAACAUAAGAUGUACAGUAACUAAGCUAUUGGUGAAGGGGUCUGCAAUUGAGAGACAUACAGGAUACUUAACUACCACUAGUAUCUAUGACUUGUUCCCUGCAGUGGUUUUAUUAAGUAAUAGGGAAAAUCAGUUGGCCACAAGAGGGAGCUCUGCUUCAAAACUGAGGAAAUGAGCUUUACUGCAAUGCCAUUACAGUAUUAUUAAUCACCCGUGAAGUUAGGCGGUUUGGCUAGGUUUUCUUCCUGUAAUCAAUGAGCAAUGCUCUUCUACAUUUUACAUGACUGGAAUCCAUGUAGGUUUUGAAUAGUGGUUACCCUAAGAGGAACUCAACUAUAAAUUAGAAUAACAGGAAGUAGGUAUACUUCCAGAUCUUUUUCUCUCUGGCAGGUUUAGGAGUAAUGUAUUUCUAAUGAACUUUUAAUGAUAACUUGUACCCAACCUUGUCAGUUUAGUUAUCUUGUAGGCAGGCUGUGCUGUGACCAAAAAGUCUAUACAAGACCUCUUUUUUAAUUAAUUUUUUAAACUUUAUUUUAUGUGCAUUGGUAUGAAGAUGUCUGAUCUCCUGAACUGGAGUUAACAGUUGUGAGCUGCCAUGUGGGUGCUGGGAAUUGAGUUCUCUGGAAGAGCAGUCAGUGCUCUUAACUCCUGAGCCAUGUCUCCAGCCCCAGUACAGACAGGUCUUUUGACAUGAUUAUUUACUGACCGUUUAAGAGCUGGAGAUUACUGAGAGUGAAAGUUUGUUACCAUUAGCUUCUCUGUCCCAAUUUUAUUCUCCCCUCCCCCCAAAAUCACCCACAGAGGAAAGGACACAAAUGCAUGCUCCUUUCUGUGGGAACUGCUAAAAAAAAAAAAAAAAAAACUGCCACUUGGAAAAAUAAGACAUUGAUUCCUUUUUAUUUUAUUUAUUUAUUUUGGUUUUUUUCGAGACAGGGUUUCUCUGUGUAGCUUUGCGCCUUUCCUGGAACUCGCUUUGGAGACCAGGCUGACCUUGAACUCACAGAGAUCUGCCUACCUCUGCCUCCCAAGUGCUGGGAUUAAAGGCGUGCGCCACCACCACCCAGCUCCUUUUUAUUUUUAUAUGUGUUGGUGUUUUGCCUGCAUGUAUGUAUGUCUGUGUAAGGGUGUCUGACAUCUGGAACUGGAGUUAGAACAGACAGUUGUGAGCUGCCAUGUGGAUGUUUGGAAUUGAACCAGGGUCCUCUAGAAGAGCAGCCAUUGCUCUUAACCUUUGAGCCAUCUCUUUAGCCCUGGAAAACAAGACAUUGUAAGUGGACAAAUUAUUUUUGCAGUUGAGAAGACACUGAUCAAAUUUAUAUGAUGUAUUUCCCUGCUUAUUAAAAGUGCUGGAGGCUAUACAUGGGGCUGCAAGUUUGAACACUAUUAAGCCAUGUAUGGUGAUAAUACACAGUAACCACAGCAUUCAGAUAAGCUAUGACAAGAUUACCAUUUGAAGGCCAGCUUGGUCUCCUUGAAUCAAUUUAACAUGUAAAAGAGGCACUCUGAAUUCCCUUUGUAAUGGAUUCUUUUUAGGAAUCCUGCACCUGUGUCUUAGGUGUCUUCUGCCCUUUUCCUGUUCACUCUAAUGGCUAUACUUACAUCAGAUAAAACUCUUCCUCUCCCCCCACCCCCCACAAAGUUUCUCUGUGUAGUUUUUGGACGCUCUGUAGACUAGGCUGGCCUUGAACUCGGAGAUCCUCCUGGCUUUGCCUCCCCAGUGCUGGGAUUGAAGGUGUGCGCCACCACGCCCAGUGUAAAGCUUGAUAAAUUCCAGCUUUUCAUUACACAGAUGAUUCUCUUAAUAAAAGAAGGGCUAAGUUUAGAUUGCUAAAAUGUCAGAGGACAUGACAAGAUUGUUGAAAUAUUAGAGGACUUCAGGAGUUAAGUUGGGGGUCCUUUCCAGGCUGUAGCAAGUAGGGAUGGAAACCUAAAAAUGACUGUAGUCCUGGGCUCAAAUAUAUUUACCAGUAACAGCAUGCCCUGGAGAUUUUAGCUACAGAAUACUAAAGUGAUAGCACAUUAUAAGACUAGAAAUGUAAAAUGUUGGUAAGUUGUACAGUAAACAUACUGUAACAACUAAAAUGAAAAAAAAUUGCUUCCCCUGAAGUGAGAAGAGUAGUAAAUUUCAGCGAGGUAAUAGCCAAGUUCAUUCUUCACCCUCCGUGCCACCAUGUCUAUUGACUUGAACCAGACUAGUUCUGGAGUUCAUUUAUUCUAAGACAGAGUCUCGCUAUGUAACUGACCUCAACUCUCAACUUGAAAUUCUCCCAAGUGCCACUGAAAUCGGAGUGGAAAUUUGUUGCUUAAAUUUGUCGCACAUCCCCACUUGACAUUUCAGCAUUCUUGUCUGUACUCAGGUCUGUUACUGAUGUAUUUUACCUGGUUUCAGUGAGAAGCCUUCAUCCUGGCUAUCAAAUACGAUCUUCCUAAAAUGUCACUACCAUUUGUCAAUUAUAUUUUACCGUUCCAGUUUUUAAUCACUGUUAAGUCAUGUCCCUUUGACAUGGGAAUGCUAACUGACCGACCCUUUGGUUUUGCUUUUGUGUGUCUGCUUGCUUAAUACACUCCUCAUUAGCAGUCUCACUGCCUCAAAUCUUAACGGGCCUCAAGGUUCAGCUCAAGUUAUACUUAUUCUUGAUCUUGAAAAGUCAACAUGCCAAAGCCUUUUUAGGAACUUUUAAAAAAGUAUCUUAUGUUUUGCUUGCAUGUUUGUCUCUGCACCACAUACGCAGUGUAGGAUCCGCUGGGACCAGUUGUGAACCUGCAUGUGGAUGCUGGAAAUCAAACCCAGAUCUCUUGCACUUGCUAAAUACUUAGUUGUAAUUUUCUACAAGAUGCAUUUAAUCACCUCAAUUUAUUUUAAUGUUUUUAUAUGUUAAUUUUUGCCAUCCAAUGGGAUUUUAGUGGCUAUUUUCCCAAGAACCAAGUGCAGGGCUGCUGCAGGUUUAAAUGGGCAGGAAAUGAUAGAGAGAAAAGUGGUAUGGGCGCUCUGUUAGUUAACUGACUAGAUUAUAAAAAGGAUUGUAUUUUUAAUAUUGGGCCACAUCUCAACUGUCUUGAUGACAAGAAGCCAGGAUUGGUGAUGCACAGUAUAAUCCCAGCCUUCCAAUACUCCAGAGGCUGAGACAGGAGCAUCUAGGUCAUCAUGAGCUAGCUAUAUAGAGCAGGACUAUCUCAAAAACAAAAACCCACUAGUAGGUGGCAUCAAUCUGGUGAUACAUAUAAUCUCAGCACAAGGAAGCUAAGGGAAGAUGGCUACACAGUGAUAGCUGUGAUAGUCCAUUGGGUGUUUGAUUUUUGUUUUUUGGGAGUCUUUAUGCAGAGGCUAUACGUAGAGCAGGCUGACCUUGAAUUCAGAGAUCUGCCUUCCUCUUCCCAGUGCUGGGGUCAAAAGCAUGUGCCACCAUGUCCGGUGACAACUUGUUUUAAGACUAUGAUGGCAUUGUUCCUAAGUACUUUCUAAAGUCUCAUUUUCUCAUCUUUCCCUGAGUUGGAUUCUUACAGUGGAAGCCUAAAUAUGACCUGAAUUUAGUGGCCCUUCCCCAGAAUCACUGUAGAUUCCUCAGUAUUUUUGUUGGACAGCAAAUAGGUAACAUUACAGAAAUUUAUACAUUAGCAUAUAAGGUUGUUUGGGGGGUUAGAAACUCUUACUUCAGGUCCUGACCCUAGUCUUCAGGCUGAUAACUCUUUGAGAAAACUCAAAGCCAAACAACACAGAAUACAGAUACUUAACUCAUUUAAAUCUCCACAACGCACUCAUUCCUUUAACUUAGAAAUUCUUCCAGCUGACUGGAGAGAUGGCUCAGUGGUUAAGGGCAGUUGAUUCCCUUCCAGAGGACCUACAUCUUGCCUGUAACUCCCACCUCCAGGAGAUGUGAGGCCCUCUUGUGGCAUAAAAGUAAAUCUUUAAACAGUUUAAACAAAACCACAACUAAGUGUCAGGCAUGGUGGCAGAGGUAGAUGGAUCUCCAUAGGGAAAUCCAGGUCAGCUGGAGCUACUUAGUGAACCUCAAAAACAAGUAAUUAUCUCUUGAUUAGCUAAUAGCUGAAGAGUUUUUGGUUGAACUAGUGGCAUUCUAUUCUGCUUUUUGCAUGUUUAGAUGUCACAUGUAUGAACUAAAUGCAUUCUCUUUAGAUUGUUAAAGUUUUAAUGUAUAUUUGCCCACUGCCAGGUACAUGGCUCUUUGUUUGGGGGUUUCUUUAAAAUAUUUUUUACAUAUAUGACUAUUUGACCUCUAUGCAUGUAUGUGUGCCAUAUGCAUGCUUGUUGGAUCCCCUGGAAAUGGAGUUACAGAUGGUUUUGAGCCAGACCUGUUUUUUUAAUUUCCUGAAUUUCUUGCAAUGUGCCCAGUUACACCAUCAUGCACAACAGAAUAAAUGUGAAUAUAUUUGCAAAAUCUGAGGCAAAUGAGUUACUUAGUUUAGAUCUGUGAUGCAUGUGUCCUCUGGUCAGAAUUGGCUUAUUCCCAGAGUAGCAGCCUCAGCUUCAUGCUCUUGUUCUCUCUUCUUUUUAUUGGGAAAAUGGAUAGGAUGUAUAUAUGAUGUUUAUUGUGGUUGGGUUUUGUUUUGUUUUUUAGAUGCGGUAUCACAUAGUUCAGCCUGGCCUUAAACUCCAUUUCCCAAAUGCUGGGAAUAAAGGCAUGCACCAUCAAACCUGGAUUUGGUGACUUUUUUUUGAGACAGGGUUUCUCUGUGUAGUUUUGGUGCCUGUCCUGGAUCUCUCUCUCUCUCUGUAGACCAGGCUGGUCUCGAACUCACAGAGAUCUGCCUGGCUCUGCCUACAGAGUGCUGGGAUUAAAGGUGUGUGCCACCACUGCCUGGUGGAUUUGGUGACUCUUAAAGUAAUGGCUAACUUUCAAAUGGUGCUGACAGUUUUUCAUUUAAUGCUAACUUUAUUUUGGAGUUUGAAGAAAUACCUUACAGAUGUUAAAAAUGGUAAGACUAAAACAUGAAUCCAGAUCCUCUGCUUACUACUAACUAGCUCCCCCCUCCCUUCUCUCUACCUCCCUUUCAAUUGGGAAUUUCUUUAGAAGAAACAAAAGUGAAUACCAUCUGCAGUAACUACCUCAUGCCACCAGGGUGUCCCAUGGUACUGUCUGAUCUGUGUUCUCAACCCUGGUUUUGGCCUAGAGCCCAGCUCCAAGACAGUGAAAUGCUUGACUUCCUGGCUUUCCAGUGUGCAGUGAACAGAGCUUAGAAAAGCCUUUGCCCUUUUUUGGCCCCGUGGAAGGACAACAGGUCACACAGAGGUCGGGCUUAGCCAGCCACUCAGUAAGGAGGCAGCAGCCCUGUAAAGACAGUAGGAUGCCAAAGGACCUGUUAAUGGUAAAUGUCAAAAGAUCCCUACUUGUGUUUUUGUUUUUUGAGAUACAUCCAGCCUGACCUCAAAUUUGCUAUGUAGCCAAAGAUGACUUUUGAUCUUCCUGCCUCCACCCUUUAAGUGCUAGGACUACAGGGUCUAGAGACUUCAAUGCCUGGUUUAUGAAGCACUUGGAGUAGAACCCAGGCCUCUUUGCAUGUUAAGCAAGCAAGCAAGCAUUCUACCAGCUGAGUUAGGUCCCCAGCUUCUGCAUUGGCUGAGCAUAUAUUCAAGUCUGUAUUAGUAAAUUAGAUCCACAAAAGCAAACCCAAAUUGAAUGGGGGGGGGGGCAGGGGGAUUAGUUUUCUUUUUCUUUUCUCUCUCCCCUCUCCCCUCUCCCCCUCCCCUCUCCCCUCUCCUCCCCUCUCCCCUCUCCCCCCUCUCUCAUGUAUAGCCCUGGUUGUCCUGGAACUCACUUCUUAGACUAGACUUGACUGCCUUUGCCUCCUAGUGCUGGGAUUAAAGGCAUGUGCCACCACUUGGCUGACCUGAAUUAUUAAGCAUUCUGGAUAGGCAAGUUUUUAAAGUUGGUCUGGUGAACUUGCCUAUUUCUAGUUUGCAGUAAAAAUGUUUGCAUUAUACUUAGCUUGAAUAUAGCCUACAACUGAUUUAAAUUCAUGUAAACUGGGAAGGUUGUCCUUGAGAUGCCCUGACUAGCCUUUCAAAAUGUUCAGUGCAUUUUUCUAUUUUGAAUUCUCAUCAUGGCCUGAUUGGGGACUAUGUAAGCCAUUUCUCUUUAAGUGAAGCUGUUAGGAGAGACUGAAUACACUGCUGAUUUGAAGUACUGGAUUUGUGAUGUCAUUUUCCCUUUCUCCUUGAAUUCCUUUAGAUGUGUUUUCAUCCCACUAGGUUUUUGGCUUUGUUUUUAAUUUUUAUUUUACGUGUAUGAAUGUUUUGCCUGCCUGUAUGUCUGCACUAUGUGAGUUGCCUGGUGCCUGAAGAGGGUGUCAUGUUCCCUAAAAUUUAUAGAUUUACAGACGUUUGUAAGCGUGAUGUGGAUGCUGUGAAUCAAACUUCAGUACUCUGAAAGCAGCCAGUGCUCUUAACCACUGAGCCUUCUCUGCAGCCCAUUUUUAAUGUUUUAUUCCAUCGUGUGUGUGUGUGUGUGUGUGUGUGUGUGUGUGUGUGUGUGUGUGUGUGUGUGUAUUGUAGUGUAAGUGUGGAAAGUCAGGACAGCUUGGUGGGAAUCAAGGACAGAUGGUCACACCUGGCAGUAGCACCUUUACCCGCUGAGCCAUCUCACCCCUGAUUUCUUGUCUUGUUCUGGAGUUCAAGCAAAGUUCCUUAUCUAUGCUAAGCAAGUGUUGGAUCUCUCCCAGCAAUGAAAACCUCUCAUCUUAUCCUUGGUUAAGUUAGCUUGAAUUUAGCUUGAAUUUUCAUAGUUCUCUGAUGAGAAGAUUGGUAGAUGGUACUAAGUCAACCUUCUGCCGUAUAACUUUUUUUGAGAGCAGGUCUAUUAUAUAGUCCUGGCUGUCUUGGAACUCGCCAUGUAAACCAGACUGGACUCAAACUCAGAGAUCUGCCUGCUUCUGCUCUGCCUGCUUCUGCUCUGCCUCCCAAGUGCUGGGAUUAAAGGCGUGUGCUACUUUCAUAUAGCUUUCUUUUCUUUCUUUUUUAGGUUUUUUGAGGCAGGGUUUCUCUGUGUAGUUUUGGUGCCUGUCCUGGAUCUUACUAUGUAGACCAGGCUGGUCUCGAACUCACAGAGAUCUACCUGCCUCUGCCUCCUGAGUGCUGGGAUUAAAGGCCUGCGCCACCACCGCCUGGCUCAUAUAGCUUUCAUAAGUGAUCAGAAUAACUGUUUCAUUGAAAUAGAGUAAUGUAUUAAACAUGUAUGGGGGCCUCCUCAGGUGUUAGCAUUAGUUUUUUUUAAGUGUUCCUAUGUAGCCAUAGACAAAUUGCUCUAAGUUACCAAUUCAAACAUACAGGUAUCAGUAAGGGGUGUUUUUCAUCCUAGAUUAUACGUAGUUUAAUGAGUUAGUCUAAAAUACUUUUCAUAUGUGGAACGGAACUACACUGUGACGUUCCUAUCUGAAGUGAAUACCCAGACCAGAAAUGGUGUGUGUUACAAACCUAGCAGUGGGCUUUACACUUAGUGCACAGGAAGCAUUUGUGCUGCCUCGGGGUGACUACCAUCAACUGAGCUUCCAGUGCUGAAUGAAAGCUGAGAGAAAGUGAAAGAAGAGAUGGGAAGAAAGAGGAAGUUAGGGAACAGCUGGAAGGGGAGGGAUGAGUCUUCUAUAGAUUAGUAAAACAAAAGCAGAGGGCAGGAUCAGGUCCCCAAACUUCUGUCAGUAGAGUAGAGCCUUGUAUACUUUGAGGCCACAGGUACGUCAGAGAAAUAGCUAGUCUUUCCUGCGUGCCAUAGUACUAAUCCCCUGAGUCGAAUGCUAUCCUGUCCUAAAAUUUCUUCAAACUGAGCAGAAAGCCCUCUGCCAGUGUGCACGGAAACUAAGGAUCAAGUAUUUGGACAACAGCAGGUAUAUAUUAUUACAAUUUAAAGAGUAAAUGAUGGGCUGAGGGAAAAAAGGAAAUAUUAAGUACAGCUUCUGUCCCUUUGUAGAGAGAACUACUUACCUGCCCUUUCAUAUCAUUUAUGCCUGGACUGGAGAACCAAAUGUACCUUACAGUUCAGAGACUCAAGGUCAAGAAACAUCCUUCAAAGAGUUCAUUCCCGCUUCUGGAAGCUGAGUCAGAUCUUAGGCUUACCUGGUCUUCUGUCGCCCUCAUUUGGCUUAUUUUCUAGACCAGAACAGCUUUUCCAGACUCUAAUCUGGCUAGUCUUGUGAUGUUUGCUGUUCACCUCUUUAACCCAGAGAAGUUGCUGCAUUGAUCCUCAACACUGGUUUCCUGAUUUCCCUCUUCCUGUCACUACCACAAAUUGAGGAACAACCCACCUCCACAGACUGAAAAUCAAAGUGGGCCAGUAGAAGAAAAACUGAAGAGGAUUGUUUCUGUUGAAGUAAAGGGUGCUUACAAAAUAGGUUUGGCUUUGUUCCACUUUUCAUAAAAACUUUUGGAGAGGUACUACAAUUAGUAAAAAUUUUACAUGUAAAUAGUAUUUUUAGAUUGAUGGCAUCAUGCUGAUGAAUUUCACUUUAUUCUCAAUAUAUUUGGUGUAGAAGCAGUAGCCACUGAGAAGGGAUCUGUCUAAAUCAGCAACUUUAGAGGCUUUGAUGAUAUAACCGAGGCCAACUAAGUUUGUAGGACUGUUAAGUUAUCUGCUGCUCUAGGGACCUGGGGCAUCUCAGGGGAGUGAGGAACAGGUGCCCAAGGAGAAGUGCUGGUGCCUGAAUGUGUUUUCCAGAUGUAUCAAAUUUCUUGGUGUAUUUUUGACCUGUGUUUGUUUCUUUCCUUCUGUGGCCUAUGCUGUUUUGCUUAUUAUUUGUUCACUAUUCCUUUUUACUUACUGAGGCUUAAAUCUAGGAAUUAUCACAUGAUAGACAAAUGUUUUACCAUGGAGUUAUACCUGCAGCUCUUACUUGUUAGGUAUUCUGUCACCCAAGAGUUAUAAAAUGGAAGCUAGCAUUUUGACAAAUGCUUUAUGAAUGAAACUGAUAGGUAUAUUGUUGAUUUUUGACAUAGUCAAAAAGAGUUAAGAUGAAAAAUGUGUUUCUAUGAACUUAGAUUCAGUUUUUGAAGUCUUGGGUCAUGACCUUUUGUAAAAAAUACUUUUAAUCAGGUUCGAAUACCAGCUGGACUUGACUAUUCAAGUUGUCAAGGAACUUAAAUAGGUGUUCAGGAAUAAAGAAAUCUUUAUUGUUUUCCUCUUCAUCUUGCCAAUUAAAACAGACAGCUAGCAAUGACAUGUUGGAGUGGUUCUCCAGUCAAAGGGAGGAGAGUACUUGUGCUGUCCUUCUGGCAAGCCUUCCCUUUUUUUCUGGCAGGGGUAUGCUUUCUCCCAUGGUUGUAUUGAGGCUGAUGUUGAGCGGUGACACUUCUUUAUGGCCACUACUUUUUGGUAUUAAUUGUAGCUCCUCCUUCCACUCCUCAGGUUUUGCUAAGUAGCCUUGGCUGACCUAUACUCACUCUGUAGCCCAGGCUGACCAGUUCUCUGGUGGUUACGGCUACUGAUCCAUCCAAACUGCUGGACUUCUCGUUCAUACCCAAGGCCUCCAGGCAGUAUCUAAUGAGGAGUCAACACUAAAAGGAACCAGACCAUCAUUUCCCAGCCCCUUUAUUCUGGUGACUGAUGGACGAGUGCGAGAGGAAUAUAUUUGCUUGUUUAAUGGGUGGGAAAACAGAUCAAGUUACUGUACCUCUUCAGUUUCUAUUCUCAAGUUCUGCAACUGUGCUACUUGGAUCAUAUAUUGGGGGAAGUUGAAGAUGUGUCUUUCAUUAGAAGUGUCUGGAGGGGAUAAGAGUCAGUUUGAAAUAUGUUGAAGUCCUGAAAUAAUGUGCCCAUCUGAGGAAUUUUUAAAAACAAGUUUAUAAAAAUACCAUAGAUGGAGCCUGCCCCCUCAUUUCCCCACCACAGAUUUCUGGGACUGGAGACACGUGUUUAAUAAUAGCUUGUCUCUGAUAUUCACAGUAGCUACCUCUAUGUGAGGAAAGGAUAGAAAACAUUCAAGACUUCAUUCGGGCUUAUGAUCUACAGAUUCCAACCAGUAGCAGUGGCUGACUCCUACACAGAAGACUGGGAACUGCAAACAGGCUGGGGUCACCUCAGUGACAUCUGACGCUGUCCAACCAGAAGUCUGACUUUUUUCUGGGGGAGGAGGGGUGAAAAAUGUACUAAAAGACUAAAAUAAUUUUGUCUCUA